rnacentral:rRNA from 1 species
CUGAGGUGGGAGUCGUCGGUUCAGCUUGCGCUGUGACUGUACGUGCUCUACCUUACACAGUCAUUAGACACUUUGCGGUGCUCUUUAUUGAGUGCUGCAGAGUGCAUGGCACGUUUACUUUGAAAAAAUUAAAGUGCUCAAAGCAGGCCUUAGUGCUUGUAUACUCUUGCAUGGAAUAAUGGAAUAGGACUUCGGUUCUAUUUUGUUGGUUUUCGGACCCGGAGUAAUGAUUAAAAGGGACUGCCGGGGGCAUAUGUAUUGUGGCGUUAGAGGUGAAAUUC